GACAAAGUGCUGGCCGCUUAUUGUUUCAUUCAAUAAUAACUUUACAAAACGCCUGGACUUCGAAUGCAUUGUCUUUGCCACUCUCUAGACUCUAGAGCGAAAGCGCCGUGGUGUACUUACCAUUCCAAGAGUUGUGUUCAGUUUCACGACCGUAAAAUGUCGUAUAACGUAUAACGUCGCUUUUCCUAUGUCAGACUCAAAAACGAUAAGAAAAUAUGAAUAAUACUCUAGAGGUACAGGUGUGUGACGCAACAGGUGAGCCAUAUCUAUAAAACACCCAACAAGAAAACGUAGCCGCCAUUUUACUUCAGACACCAUCCGUGCUCCACUCGAAACCAUUUCGUUACUUAUUUAAUUAGUGCUCUUAAAAACUUGCUAAGUGAGCGUAAUUUUACACUUAAAAAUAUUGAUAUAAUUAAUCAAAAGUUAAACUGUUAAUAAUUAUUAAUAGGUAAUAAAGUUCGAAGUGUUUUAAUUGACUUUGAAGAUGACGUAAAAUUUUCGCGCGAAGGGAAAAGUUAUCUGAAAAUUUCAUUUUUAACGAUAAAGUUGAUUGUAUCAAUAGAUUAUACUAUCUGUUGUUUGAUUAAAUUGAACAUUAUCAUUAUCAAAUGGGAGUCUGUGAUUGGUUAAAUUUUGUCCGACCUCCAUUACAAGCAUGUGAUUCAAGAUUUUCAAGAUGGCUGAACUGAAAAUGACUGCAAGUUUAGAAUCGUUACAGGCGCGGCUGACGGUGAAUACUACAGUUGCACCUGAUCCAGAGGGGCCAGAGAGCAAAAUUAGACUCCUCUCAUCAGAUCCAUUUGAAAAAGGUUCCUUCCCCAAUCAACGAGCAACUGUUGGACAUAGGACUCUUCCAAACAGCGCCACAACACUCUGUCCUCAACCUUCCUAGUCAAACCGCCACCGGCUGCCGGCUCCGAGGGCAUCCCACGCUACAUGGCAGCCCGCGCGAGAGCGUCCCACGCUUCAUGCAGCCUAUAAUCUGUUAAUGAAGAGAGCUAUCCGUCGACAGUAUUGACCAUAAAAACUGUCAUGGAGUUGCUCUCUUUAUGAACGGUUGCUGGCCCAACGUUGGAUUAUGAAAACCGAUGGAUUCUUACUGAAGAAGCAGAAGAUUACUACGGCAGAUGCUGAGCUGGUGCCUCUUUGAUGCUCUGGAAAGCAACCUGUUGUGUAAUUAUUGUGUUUAUUUUAUUGUUGUU